rnacentral:rRNA from 1 species
CCUACGGGGUGCAGCAGUGGGGAAUAUUGGACAAUGGGCGAAAGCCUGAUCCAGCCAUGCCGCGUGUGUGAAGAAGGCCUUCGGGUUGUAAAGCACUUUCAGUGGGGAAGAAAGCCUUGGGGCUAAUACCCUCGAGGAAGGACAUCACCCACAGAAGAAGCACCGGCUAACUCCGUGCCAGCAGCCGCGGUAAUACGGAGGGUGCGAGCGUUAAUCGGAAUUACUGGGCGUAAAGCGCGCGUAGGCGGUCUGAUAAGCCGGUUGUGAAAGCCCCGGGCUCAACCUGGGAACGGCAUCCGGAACUGUCAGGCUAGAGUGCAGGAGAGGAAGGUAGAAUUCCCGGUGUAGCGGUGAAAUGCGUAGAGAUCGGGAGGAAUACCAGUGGCGAAGGCGGCCUUCUGGACUGACACUGACGCUGAGGUGCGAAAGCGUGGGGAGCAAACAGGAUUAGAUACCCUAGUAGUC